GCAUCUGAAUAGCAAAUAAGCCAUUCUUGCAUUGGCUGUCGCUAACAGCAUCAUUUUAUGCAUUAAAUGUGCUACAGAAAUGUAAAACAUAAGUACUAUGAAUAAGAUAUUUUUCUUACAUAUAUCUUACAUACAUAUGUAGCACUGGAUUUAAUAUUAAGCACAGCUGAGAAGAAAAUGAUUUAUUGCAUAAGAAUGUAAUCUGGGAAAACGGCAUUUCUGAUUCACUGUCCAGAUUCAUAAUUGCUUCAUGUACCCUUAGUUGCUCUAAGGGCUGUUAAUAGACUCUUGGUUUGUGAUAACAGCAACUGUAGCUGUCCAUGAAAGUAUGAACUUGCUUUGAAAAGGAAGAGAAGCAGCCUGAAUUCACAAAUAGCCUUGAGGGCUAUCUUAAGAUAGCCUAAAUUACCCGCUAAAGGUAUGCAAAUCAAGUCUUGGCUGAGUGUUCAAAGGCUUUCAGGUUCUUUUUCAACAUGUUAAGUGACAAUUCCUCUCCCCAGUCUGUAAGAAGUAAACCAGACUAAACUCAAUUUAGCAGUAAUUACUAAUACUCUUUUUUUGCAUUCAUACAUUUUUAAGGUCAAUAUGGACCAUUCUGCAGAACUGAUUCACAGGCUUCUUGAAUUGAUGUGAAUUAAAAAUGUCCAAUAGUUAUGCAUAAAGUGUACAUAUUAGGCAAAACCAUCCAAUAUUGAUUUCACCAAUUCUAGAAGUGGAAUCAGUGUUUCAUGAGUUCUUGUGAUUAAUACAACUGCUAAAAAAAUUGAGCUCAGUAAUAACUAAAAUGAUUGACUUCACCUUUCAGCCAUUGAGUUUUGUUAUAACUGCCUAAUCUGUUGAACUUGGAAUACUAUCAUUUCUCUGUUACUAUGUACUUGCUGAUUUUGAGCAACUCAUUUUUUAAUCAUUCACUUUAUUCAUGGGAGAAACAGAGUUGACUGAAUCUUUACCAUAAAAGAUGUUUUUUACUCUCGAGAUUCUUUAAAUUCUUACCAGUUCCUCAGUAUUGUUCUUGCAUUGAGAAAAGGACUCAGUAUUCCUUAACUGUGGACACACAAGAAUCUGAAUAUGAUAAUUUAACCUAUUUCAUCAAUGUCCUUUUUGUAUACUCAAGGAAUAUCAAACGCUUGCCUUCUGUACGACUUACCUCUUUCCCUGUCAUUACAUUAUCUGCAAAUUUCAUCAGUUAAGUUACUUUUUCCCAAGUUUUUAACAGAAAUAUUAAUAUUGUAAAGCUGACAAACAGUAUCUCCAAGAGCCCACUGCAAAAAUCACUCUUGAGCAGUGAUUGUUUGUGUAUACAUACUUUGGGAAACUUAGCUGUUAGAUAAUUUGGAAUCAUUCUGUUAUGUGCCAUGCUAAUUUCGUAUCAGCUGAGUUUUUAAACAAACUGUCACAUAGUACCAAGCAAAACACCUUUCAAAGGUCCAAACAUAUAGACACAGUUAUUUUAAGCAAUCCGAAGUUUUAUCAUGUCAAAAUAUGAUGUAGGUUACUCUGAAAAUAUUUUUGCCCGCAAAAUCAUUUGGUCAGCAUUAACUGCAUUUCUUUCCUCCCUUUAUACAUGGAGUCUGUAAUAGCGUUGCACAAUGUUUGUCAUGUAUAUGGGAGUGUUGUCAGCUGAGCUGGUCUUUAAUUUCAUAGGUCAUUCUGUUUAUGCUGCUUACAUAUUCCAGACUAGGAUCUACAAGUAUUUUGAUGUCUUUCCCUGCUUUCCAAUGUGUAUUAAAAUCAACAAGAAUAUAGAACAUUCUCAAACAGCCACCUCUUUCAAAACUACCUAGACUAUAUCUUUGCUCACUGGACAUACAGAUUUUUUUCCUUAUUUCUCUUACUUUUUGUGGUGUAUUUCUGAUUAUAAAUAUCAAGGUAUCUCUGGAAAUUAAAUCUCCUUUCUAAAAACUGUGGUAUAAUUCUUGCCCAUUACAGUGAUGUAACAAUGCAGGGAGAACAUCUCUUUUCAUUUGCUUGCUGUUAAGGAGAAAAUUUUCCAUCUUUCUCCUCUCCCAUUUCUUUAGCUAUUUUGGUAUUGUAAUUGUUGGUUAUUUUACUUAGAUUGCAUGUGUAUGUAAAAGAAGCAAGAAAUCUUGAUUGUCAGAAGAUUCUGGAAAAUUCCAAUAUAGUGCAAGAAAAAUGCAGCACAGCUUACAAGCAGAUCAAAAACUCCUCAAAGCUUUAAGGAUUUGGGGGGGAA